rnacentral:tRNA from 1 species
UCCUGGUGGCUCAAAAGGUAAAAGGUCUGCCUGCAAUUCAGGAGACCUGGGUUCAAUCCCUGGGUCAGGAA